CUGUUGGUAGGAAUGCAAGCUGGUACAGCCAAUCUGGAGAACAAUAUGGAUUUUCCUCAAGAAGUUAAAAAUAGAGCUACUCUAUGACCCAGCAAUUGCACAACUGAGUAUUUACGACAAA